rnacentral:rRNA from 1 species
AUGAACGCUGGCGGCGUUCCUAAUACAUGCAAGUCGAGCGAACGGACGAGAAGCUUGCUUCUCUGAUGUUGGCGGCGGACUGGUGAGUAACACGUGGAUAACCUACCUAUAAGACUGUAAUAACUUCGGGAAACCGUAACUAAUACCGGGUAAUAUUUUGAACCGCAUGGUUCAAAAGUGAAAGACGGUCUUGCUGUCACUUAUACAUGGAUCCGCGCUGCAUUAGAUAGUUGGUAAGGUAACGGCGUACCAAGGCAACGAUGCUGAGACGACGUCGGGGGGUAGUCGGCCAGACAGGGACGGCGACCAGGUCCAGACUCAGACGGGAGGCAGAAGUAGGGAAUCUGCCGCAGUGGGGGAAAGCGUGCCGGAGCAACGCCGCGUGAGUGAUGAAGGUCUUCGGAUCGUAAAACUCUGCUAGUAGGGAAGAACAUAUGUGUAAGUAACUGUGCACAUCUUGACGGUACCUAAUCAGAAAGCCACGGCUAACUACGUG